UACGAAGGGGGCUAGCGCUGGUCGGAAUCACUGGGCGUAAAGCGCACGCCGGCGGAUCGAUAAGUCGGGGGUGAAAGCCCGGGGCUCAACCUCGGAAUUGCCUUCGAUACUGUCGGUCUCGAGUCCGGGAGAGGUGAGUGGAAUUCCUAGUGUAGAGGUGAAAUUCGUAGAUAUUAGGAAGAACACCAGUGGCGAAGGCGGCUCACUGGCCCGGUACUGACGCUCAGGUGCGAAAGCGUGGGGAGCAAACAGG
rnacentral:rRNA from 1 species